rnacentral:rRNA from 1 species
CAGUAGCCGCGGUAACACGUAGGGUGCGAGCGUUAAUCGGAAUUACUGGGCGUAAAGCGUGCGCAGGCGGUUAUGUAAGACAGAUGUGAAAUCCCCGGGCUCAACCUGGGAACUGCAUUUGUGACUGCAUGGCUAGAGUACGGUAGAGGGGGAUGGAAUUCCGCGUGUAGCAGUGAAAUGCGUAGAUAUGCGGAGGAACACCGAUGGCGAAGGCAAUCCCCUGGACCUGUACUGACGCUCAUGCACGAAAGCGUGGGGAGCAAACAGGAUUAGAUACCCCCGUAGUCCCUGUCUCUUAUAC